CUUGAAGUUGAAGGGGGCCUUGAGAUCCAGUAUUAUUGUUACAUGCAAGAAAACUGAGGUCCCAGGAAGUACACCUCCUGCCCAAACAUGUCCAGUAUAGCUACCAGCACCCACUCUAGAUGGCACAGUAAGAUGGAGAUUGCCAUAAGAUGGGUGUUAGAUCAGAGGACCCAGAAGAACUCAAACCUCUCCCAACAAAAGAAGCCUCAGUUGCCCAUUCUUACGGUUGAGCCUAACAAAUGGAGAAUUUCCCAAAGUCUAGACCAUGGAACACCGGUCACAUGGCAUCCUCUGAGUAAAGAAGAAUGUUGAGUGGUUAAAAAGGUGCCAAAUAGGAGCUACAGGGUCAGGAGCAGCUGGGACCUGACCUCUCCACCCCACUCCACCCCCUGCCCUAAGACUGUCCAGCCCUGCCCCCCCGCCCCCUCCAGCAGCAUGGAGCCCAACAGAGAGAGAGACCACUGGGAGUGCAGGUCCAGGAGCCACCAGUUCUCCACGAACCCUGGCCUGGAGCUGCAGCAAGGGAGAUGUCUGCUUACCCCAGAGAGAUGGAGGGAAAAGGGAGAGGAGUAGGCCAGAUUUGCCCAGGGUCAAAAGAGUCGUUCGCUGUGUGGUUGGUCUGGGUGCCUACUUCCGUGUUUCCAGCCAGACCCAGCUGGGCAGAGCAUGAAACUGGCCCUUCUCAGCCAGCUUCCCACUGGAGUGACAGUUCGGUCCCUGGAUGGAAAAGCUGCCUGGCAUAUUCCCUGAGUCCCUCCCAGGUGCCAGCACCUGCUGGGCGUCCAGCAUGGAAGUAGCCAAGGUCCUUGCCCUCGUGGCAUUUACAGUCCAGCGUGGAAUCAAGCUGAGCUUCCAAAUACAUAGUCACACUGUGAUCAUGGCAGCAUUUCUUGAGAGAGCUUACCAGAUGAAGAAAAGGAGGCUCAGAAGGAGGAAAUGCUAUGCCUUCAGACGUACGGUAUGAAACUGAACUCGGACAGAGAAGGACCCAGACUGACCAACCACCUUUCCUGCUCUUGGAGGGGAGGCUAAGCCUGACACAUAGGUCCUGCCUCCAGUACCUCCCAAAUGAAAAUAAAGGGACAAAGACAGCAGAAGAACAGACAACAGCUGCAGAAUUUUGGAAGCCAGAGUCAGAUGGGUGAGGGGACACGGACUUCCCUGACCGGAUAUAGUUAAAUUCGACAUUGUUGUUCAUUGUUGUGGGUCGAGUAGUGUCCCCCUAAAGCUCAUGUCCACCCGGAACCUCACUAGGUGAUCUAAUUUAGAAAUAGAAUUUUGCAGAUGUAAUUAGUUAAGUUAAAAUGAGGUUUGAGAGCACCUGGGUGGCUCAGCGGUUGAGCAUCUACCUUUGGCUCAGGUCGUGAUCCCAGGGUCCUGGGAUCGAGUCCCACAUCCGGCUCCCCACAGGGAGCCUGCUUCUCCCUCUGUGUCUCUGCGUGUCUCUCAUGAAUAAAUAAAUAAAAUCUUAGAAAAUAAAAAUAAAAUAAGAGAUUUGACUGGAUUAGGGAGGGCCCUCAGUCCAGUGAGGCCUCGUGAAGAUACAGAGACAAAGAAAUAAGCCCAUG